UGUAUAUGUAUUAAAUAAAUAAAUAAAAUCUUUUUAAAAAAUUCAACAUAGGGGUAAAUAAUCAUGUCUGUUUCCCUUCCUAGGAGAGAUGUUUAGAAUCGCUGCAGAAGUAGAACGUGGUGACGACACCUUUUUGGUGCGUUUGCGAGGGACUUAUCUGCUGGAAAGAAAUACUUGACGUGUUUAUCUUCUUUCAUCGUGGAAAGAACCCGAGUUAGGUGUUAUUUGGAAGCCCCCUCUCGGAGCCCGGAAGCAGAGACUUUCUGUGAUGGAUGAUGGUUUGUGUAUUUUGAGAUCUGUAGCGUUAGGGAGAGAAAGGCAUUGACGUUAUUUAGAUUUUCCUUUAUUGCCUUUACUUUUCCAGGCAAAACCAAGAUUGAAUGCGCCUCUUGGUGCUGUCAUUUCCGUAAGUCAGUGGGCCAUGCUCGAGGUCCCGUAGGCCCGGGAUCCUGUCUGCUCCCUGAGAUUCCCCUGCUUCCCCCGCACCGCCCCCCCACCCGACUCCGGAGCCCCCAGGGUCUCGAGGGGCAUCACAGGCAGUGUCUUGGCUGUGACGUGCUGUGCUUACCAGCUUCACCACCUCCUUAGAUUUGGUUCUGUGGCCAGGAAAGUCUGAGACCCGGGCUCCGGCUGCCCCCCAACUCACGGUUCCUCUCAAGCUCUGUUCCCUGCCCCCCCACCCCGGGAUUACCUGGGGGGUGAUCUGUUACCUCCCCCCAAGGGAGAGGGCGCUUUCGGCCUAAUCACAUCCAAUUUGCAUUCCAGGGCCCAGUGCUGAGAUCCAGCCUAGGGAGCUAGAGACCCUGCCAGGAAGGCUCCAGCGCCCACAGCCCCCCCCCCCCCCCCCGAUCACGAAUCCUGAGGUGCUGAGACAGCUGGUGACAUAGUUGCUUCCCUGCCUCCUUACACCACGUCCAGCUGCUCUGAGGGACAGGCUUGAGCAAGGCAGAAAGGGCCCCGGCGACCGGAGAGCCGAGACCAGCCAACUCGGCCGCUCCAGAUGAGGAAGGACUCUGCACUUUCACCCGACCUGGGUUAGGUUUGCUGCUGGCCUUGUUUCCCAACACCGAGACUGGUCCUGUUUGUGACAUGAGGGUGCAGAAGUCCUUUACCCCCUUUGGGCACCGUGUUCAAAGGACAAACAGGCUGUCUACGGAUCGCCGGGAAAGCUCGGGGCUCUCAGAGGGUCAGGGGGCAAGAGGUCAUGGUCAUGGCUCAUGGCAGACACCCAGGGGUCCUACAAACUCAGUAAUCACAACUAUGAGGACCCGGAGAAGAAAUACGCACUUUCAUUAAUCACCCAAGGAGCCUCCUCAUGUGUGUCGCUCAUGUGUUCAGGAAAGAAGCCUUGUGCACCUGCCGUGUGCCCGCACCAGACUGGAUGGUCGGGCGGCUCCGUGGGGAGGCGACAGGAUGGAGUGCGGUGGCUGUGUCUCCUGCUGUCACACGGCCCCGGGUCGCAGGGUCACAUGCGGGAGGUUCGGAGGGCCUAGAGAGCAAGAUGGAGUCACUCACGUCAAGCAAUGACACAAGGAGUAAAGGGCACUGUAGCUAUGAGACAUCGCCGAGAGCAGCGCCAGCGGACGACGUCCCAGAACCGGCGUGGAGCAGGAGCGGAGGGCGUCUGCGGGGCCCCAGCCUGGUUCCGUCCCUCCAAACAGGGAGGACUCUUGCAGCAAACCGUCUGCCUCUUCAGACAGGAGCCCUCUGUCCGACCGCUUCGAAAAGGCUGCUGCCGCGGAGGGCUCUGCCGGACGGGACGGGACAGAGGCCUUGUCCCAGUGGUGACCACAGACGUCUGGCAGCCAGGGUUUGUGCACUUCCCGCAAGGGCAGUGCUAGCUUGCUGGGUGACUUCCUGUCUGUUCUGCUCGGUGUGCCGUCUACGAAACCAAGCUAAUCGUGGGGUGAAACAUCAUGGAGUUUGGAAUCCCGAACCCGCUCUGGAAUUCUGUUAACCUCGCUUUGUGACCGAAUACAGCGGACGUUGUGGAAAGCCCCAGCUCCGGUGUGGCCUUCAGAGCUCGCUCCCCACAGAGGUGCCGUGGGCUCAAACCUGGGAGGAGAGGAGACUGGGCAGAGGACGCCCAGCCGUGGCCUCAGGCCACCCCCAGGAACCCUGAAGUCAGCAGGGCCUUGCAGGCUUGUCCUGACUCGCUCCAGGAUGGUCCAGCCCUUGUCCCCAUGCUGAUCUGUCUGUGGCCAUUGGCUGCCCUCUGGGCAGAGUGGCUCGCUCUCCAGAGCUGGGGCCGUCUCAAAAAAUGCUUUUUGCUGCAAAGCUGUCCGCAGAUAUUCCCAGGAGCAGGGGGCCCUACGGGGAGGAACUGUCACGAGCCCAUCCCGCGGAUGAGAAGGCUGAGGCAGAGAAGGUGAGGAGCCUGUCCUCAUUCAUACCACCUGAGGAUGUGACUGUCCGUCCUCGCAUCCCGCUCCCGCCAUCCCACUGUGCAGUUACGUGUCCAGCUCGCUUGUGUGGGGCAGCACUCCCCCCAACCCCGGAACGCAGGCUCCACCGCAGCAGGGACGGUCAAGUUCACUGCUGCAUCCUCAGUGCCCCAUACGACACCCGUGACCCAGCAGCAGUUCCGUGAACCUUUACAAAGACAGACAUCCCAGAGGGCGGCAGCGGGCGUGCUGGGUGGUGGUUUCUGGAAGGCUCAGCAUGUGAGGUUUCCUGGGGAAUUCCUCAGACACCAAGCCAACCUGAGGUCACAUACGUGGGUUUCUGCUGGGGACUGCUCCUGACCCCACCAUGGCACGUGUCUUGGAGAGUCAGAGAAGGAUGCUUGGCCGUGUGGUGUCCUUCACUUAUCAAUGUCUCCCUUCUUUCACACGCUCAGCCUCUCACAGCUGUCCAGCGGGUGUUCCCCGAGCACUGCGCUGUGCCCAACACCAGGCCGGGAUGGCACGCUAGCGACCGACCAUUCCGCGCCUGUCCUCGUGGACCUUGGCAGUGAGGCUUUCAGAGCCUGUUCGAAGCCACUUAGUACCAAGCAGAUGAUCUCCCUAGACCGGAAUGUCGGAGGAGACAGAAAGGGAACCACUGAUGUAAGGCUUGUGAGCCUGAAGUUGUGGCCUGUGGAUAUCCCAGAGAGUCAACAAAAAACACACCCCCCCCACCGUGAAUAUCACGCAGAGGACCCACGAAAGCUGUGAGAACUACAGUGUCUCCGAGAGGGGCUGCAGGGACUUCGAUUUGGAUCACAUCUCUCAGUCAAGGUGAGAAUCUGAUCAAAGGGGGAAAUCGUUAAAUAGAAUACCAAGGGCCCCAAAGGGUGUCAUUGGGCCAAGUCACCAAACCAGGAUUUACUACCCUAAUUGCAAUUUCAACUUUCCCUAGAAAUUUGUCUUUUUUUUUAAAAAAAGAUUU